AUUGAACGCUGGCGGCAUGCUUUACACAUGCAAGUCGAACGGUAACAGGCCGCAAGGUGCUGACGAGUGGCGAACGGGUGAGUAAUGCAUCGGAACGUGCCCAGUCGUGGGGGAUAACGCAGCGAAAGCUGCGCUAAUACCGCAUACGAUCUAUGGAUGAAAGCGGGGGACCGAAAGGCCUCGCGCGAUUGGAGCGGCCGUUGUCAUAUUAGGUAGUUGGUGGGGUAAAGGCCCACCAAGCCAACGAUCUGUAGCUGGUCUGAGAGGACGACCGGCGCCACUUGGGCUGAGAGACGGCCCAGCCUCCUACGGGAGGCAUCGGUGGGGAAUUCUGGACAAUGGGCGCAAGCCUGAUCCAGCAAUGACGCGUGCAGGAAGAAGGCCUUCGGGUUGUAAACUGCUUUUGUACGGAACGAAACGGUCCGGGUUAAUACCCUGGGCUAAUGACGGUACCGUAAGAAUAAGCACCGGCUAACUACGUGCCAGCAGCCGCCGUAACAC
rnacentral:rRNA from 1 species